rnacentral:rRNA from 1 species
AUGUCGUUCAGAAUAGGGAGCCACAUACAAAGGAGUGCAUAGUUGAUGUGUAUUCGAGUCAUAGGAGUGGUUGGUAACCAACAACAUGCUCGUAUUGAUUAAGUUAUUGUUGUUGUAAUCAAAGAAGCAUUGCCCAAAAUGCUUUUAGAAAGAUCCGAAGUAAUUCAAACUGUAAUUGUCCAUACAUGUAUAAUAAUCCACUAUGAUGAGCAAACUUUCCCCUCCAGACAUCACGGACGAGCCCGUGGAUUCGCCUUCUCUCUGCUUGCGGCUCCGGCGGCCGGUGGUGGGGAGGGGAAUGUUGGUGCCUCCGCUCCAGUUAGUAUUUUAGGUUAG